UCGGGAAUUUUGGGCAAUGGGCGAAAGCCUGACCCAGCAACGCCGCGUGAAGGAUGAAGUAUUUCGGUAUGUAAACUUCGUAAGAAUAGGAAGAAUAAAUGACGGUACUAUUUGUAAGGUCCGGCUAACUACGUGCCAGCAGCCGCGGUAAUACGUAGGGACCAAGCGUUGUUCGGAUUUACUGGGCGUAAAGGGCGCGUAGGCGGCGUGGUAAGUCAUCUGUGAAAUCUCCGAGCUUAACUCGGAACGGUCAGAUGAUACUGCUGUGCUAGAGUACAGAAAGGGCAAUCGGAAUUCUUGGUGUAGCGGUGAAAUGCGUAGAUAUCAAGAGGAACACCUGAGGCGAAGGCGGGUUGCUAGGCUAACACUGACGCUCAUGCACGAAAGCGUGGGGAGCAAACAGGAUUAGAUACCCGAGUAGUCCCUGAGCGGGCUGGCAAGGCGCAU
rnacentral:rRNA from 1 species